GACGAACGCUGGCGGCGUGCUUAACACAUGCAAGUCGAACGAGUGGCGAACGGGUGAGUAACGCGUAAUCAACUGCCUAUUAGAGGGGGAUAACUAUUGGAAACGAUAGCUAAUACCGCAUACUAGUAGAUGGACCUGCGUUGUAUUAGCUAGUAGGUAGGGUAAUGGCCUACCUAGGCGAAGAUACAUAGCCGACCUGAGAGGGUGGUCGGCCAAACAGGGACUGAGACACGGCCCAGACUCCUACGGGAGGCAGCAGUAGGGAAUCUUCGGCAAUGGGGGGAACCCUGACCAAGCAACGCCGCGUGAGUGAAGAAGGGUUUCGGAUCGGAAAACUCUGUUGUUAAGGAAGCGGUACUUAACCAGAAAGGGACGGCUAACUACGUGCCAGCCGCCGCGGUAAUUC
rnacentral:rRNA from 1 species